GACAGAAUCUCCGAGCGUUAUCCGGAUUUACUGGGCGUAAAGGAUCCGUAGGUGAUCGGGUAAGUUGAAGGUUAAAACUCAUCGGCUCAACCUUUGAGCUGCUUUCAAUACUGCCCGAAUAGAGGAUGUUAGAGGCUAACGGAACCGACGGUGUAGGGGUGAAAUCCGUUGAUAUCGUCGGGAACACCAAAUGCGAAGGCAGUUAGCUGGGACAAUCCUGACACUGAGGGAUGAAAGCGUGGGGA
rnacentral:rRNA from 1 species